rnacentral:rRNA from 1 species
CCUACGGGAGGCAGCAGUGGGGAAUUUUGGACAAUGGGCGCAAGCCUGAUCCAGCCAUGCCGCGUGUGGGAAGAAGGCCUUCGGGUUGUAAACCACUUUUGUCAGGGAAGAAACGGCUCUUACUAAUAUUAGGGGCUAAUGACGGUACCUGAAGAAUAAGCACCGGCUAACUACGUGCCAGCAGCCGCGGUAAUACGUAGGGUGCAAGCGUUAAUCGGAAUUACUGGGCGUAAAGCGUGCGCAGGCGGCUUUGCAAGACAGAUGUGAAAUCCCCGGGCUCAACCUGGGAACUGCAUUUGUGACUGCAUGGCUAGAGUACGGUAGAGGGGGAUGGAAUUCCGCGUGUAGCAGUGAAAUGCGUAGAUAUGCGGAGGAACACCGAUGGCGAAGGCAAUCCCCUGGACCUGUACUGACGCUCAUGCACGAAAGCGUGGGGAGCAAACAGGAUUAGAUACCCUGGUAGUCCACGCCCUAAACCGAUGUCAACUGGUUGUUGGACGGCUUGCUGUUCAGUAACGAAGCUAACGCGUGAAGUUGACCGCCUGGGGNGGUACGGCGCGAGUAGACGACGAAGAGUAGUAGCGNGAGAGAGCGACGACGGACGACGAGGAGGGAGG